rnacentral:lncRNA from 1 species
UUCUUCUUGUUGGCCUACCUGAAUACAUGCUGAAGAAUUGUCCUGAGGACCCUGUGUCAGUCUGGGUACAGACAUGCUAUAGUUCAGUGGCACAUGGUAUGAGGUUAUCUCAAGAGGUCCACGUCUAUCUCUCUCAUGAAGCGUAAGCACUCCUCUGACUCAGAACACUCAGUUAACUGAGGUGCUUUUUAAACAGAGAUAUGGAUUUAGAUCAUGGAGCAUAUCCUCUCACCCGUGACCAGUAGCCAAUAUUGCAGAACAGCUGACAGAAAUGUGGUAGGGAUGCCGCGUGACUACCUGGGCAUUACUCUACAGAGCUGGAUCACAGAACCUAACUUCAUUAGCAUCAUAGUCUAAUGAGAUAACUAAUGAGUGCAAUAAAUACUUGAUGACUACAAAUAAAGUCAGCAAAGAAAACAGA